rnacentral:rRNA from 1 species
GACGAACGCUGGCGGCGUGCUUAACACAUGCAAGUCGAACGAAGUGGCGAACGGGUGAGUAAUACGUGGGUAACCUGCCCUCCUUUUUGGGAUAAGCCUUGGAAACGGGGUCUAAUACCGAAUAAAGGGGGAUGGGCUCGCGGCCUAUCAGCUUGUUGGUGGGGUGAUGGCCUACCAAGGCGGUGACGGUUAGCCGGCCUGAGAGGGUGACCGGCCACAGUGGGACUGAGAUAAGGCCCAGACUACGAAGGGAUGGAGCAGUGGGGGAUAUUGCAGAAUGGGUGAAAGACUAAUGUAGCGACGCCGCUGGGGGGAUGAAGGCUUUCGGGUUGUAAACCUAUUGCGCUAUCGAAAAGGUAGGUGGACAAGAAGCGCCGGCUAACUACGUGCCAGCCAGCGCGGUAAUAC